rnacentral:lncRNA from 1 species
AUUUCAUGAAGCCACGAGUCUAUGCCAUUCAGGAUGCAUAGUUCCCUGCCAGAAGAACUCAGUAAACACAGUCCUAAGCUUUUACAUGAGACAAAACAUAAGGUACAUGCUUGACCUAAGCUACGGCCACGCUAAUCCUGUUAACAACACACAUGCAACUAGCUAAUCAAGAUUACUACUAACAUAAUUCACCGAAAAGAGUAACAGGUGAUGCAUCAAAAGGAAUCUGGCCAGAUCCGAUCACAUUAGACGAGCCUAGGUGUGUGGAUCCAAAACAAAGUGUGCAAAUCUUUGAUAAAUGAAAGUUAAGGUUAAUAAUCUAAACUUUAAUAUUCUGAACUUUGUUACAGUUUAGCCCAAGGAGACAUGCUCUAUUCCUAAGAAAUUAACUAUUUAGUGACAUAAACAUUGUGAUUGAUGUGACGAUGAAGGAGUUUAAGUUCUGUACCUCAUGCAUUGCGCCACCGUCCAGUGCGGCUCGCUGUGCCGUAGGGUCCUCAUCUCGACAAAUGGCUAAGUCUACUGCCUACUGCCAAGGCAUAAUUAGCACACACAAGGAUUUUAUUGAGUGAAACAAAAUUAACAUCCAUACUUCCUCUACUGCCUACACAUCCAACAGGAUAAAAAGAAACAUUUUUCAGCAAAAUCGAGUUAAAUAGAUGGAUUUCCAUCUUGCAUACAUGUGUGCUUAGCAAAUAGAUGGAGGGGGAGAAGAGAGAGCUUACCAACAGCAUCUGGUUGGGGAGGUGGUCAUGAGCAGCAUGUCGGAGAGGUUGCCGGCUAAUGUUUCAAAAUGAAGAAUAGUCAAGUUAAGUGUUAACCAACAUUGUACAAAAUACAGUAAUUCACCGUUUUGAUAACUCACUUAACAUUGUACAAGUUGAGGUAACUAAAGAUAAAAUGGAGCUUAUGGAAACAAUAUUCAGAGAGUAGGAGAAUAGAUCCUAAAUUAAAAGGAUCCACUAAGUUGCGCCAUUGCUACACACAGGACUUGCAGGCGCGGGCGUGACAUGCCAUGCCAUCCAGCAACGCCGGCCGUGUCAACCCACAAGUUGAUUAAACAAAAACUUGGAAAACCAGCAAGUUGAAUAUGCAUGCAUCUUAC